GCCUGGCUGGCUCAGUCGGUAGAGCAUGAGACUUUUUGAUCUCGGGGUUGUGAGUUCGAGCCCCAUGUUGGGUG
rnacentral:tRNA from 1 species